AAACAUGAUAGCUCAUGCCUUUCAAAGUAGCUGCUUUGAAGAGAGUGUUUAAACCAACGUUUGCACAUUCCAUUAUCACCAGCGCUGUUACAGAUGAGGAGAUUCGAAGAAGUGAGUUUUUUUAACACUAUAUGUAAAGAUGAGAGAAACAGAGUUUGUUCUGUUUUUUUUCUUCUUUUUUUUUUGGGGAAAAGAAGAAGAAAAGAAGGUGAGUGGGUGAAAGUUAGAUUCAGCAAUUGUAUUGUGUAGUCACACACACUUUAGAAAUAUGUGAAGCGGACAAAAACAAAACAAAAAUAAAUAGGCCAUGAAACAUGCUGACAUGUUGUUAUGUAUCUAUGUUUUAUAUGCCAUAGCCAUAUGAAUGGAAUUUAUUCCAGUACAAAAUAUAUAUAUAAAGAUCAUUUAUCAGAUUAUUGAUCAACAAAUUUGUGGGUGAUCAAUUAAUUAUUUUUUGUUGGAUGUUUCGUGUUCUUGGUUAGGUCUAAGUUAUUUGAGUUUUUUUUUUUUUUU